rnacentral:rRNA from 1 species
AACGAACGCUGGCGGCAGGCUUAACACAUGCAAGUCGAGCGCCCCGCAAGGGGAGCGGCAGACGGGUGAGUAACGCGUGGGAACGUACCCUUUGCUACGGAAUAGCCCCGGGAAACUGGAAUUAAUACCGUAUGAGCCCGACGGGGGAAAGAUGUAUCGGCAAAGGAUCGGCCCGCGUUGGAUUAGCUAGUUGGUGGGGUAAUGGCCUACCAAGGCGACGAUCCAUAGCUGGUCUGAGAGGAUGAUCAGCCACAUUGGGACUGAGAUCACGGCCCAAACUCCUACGGGAGGCAGCAGUGGGGAACAUUGGACAAUGGGCGCAAGCCUGAUCCAGCCAUGCCGCGUGAGUGAUGAAGGCCUUAGGGUUGUAAAGCUCUUUCACCGGAGAAGAUAAUGACGGUAUCCGGAGAAGAAGCCCCGGCUAACUUCGUGCUAGCAGCCGCCGCCGUAA